AACACCUAGCUGAGUUCCUGUUCUCAGCUCAGACAGACAGUGUGCUCUGUUCAGUCAGUUCAGUCUGUAUGAAGAUGAGGGGGAAUAUCUGCUGCUGCCUGUUAGCUUUUGUUCUGAGCUGCAAUGUCACUGCAGCAAUAAUCCAUGAAAUAGUUGAGGAGAAGGACCCUGUCUUUCUGAGUUGUCCUCACUCUGUGGAGGGUAAAGUGACGUGGGGCAGAGAGAGAGAUGGACGCAGAGUUGACAUACUUACAGCUGAUGGUGACAGAGACAUAAGACACAAUGAUCCAGGCGAACGAUACAGGUCAUUAGUAGAUAAAUCACUUUACAUUCAUAGAGUUACUGUCUCAGACACUGGAAGAUACUUCUGUAAUAAUGAACCAGCUGUGGAGCUGACGGUGAUCCCAUCAGGAACAACCAGACUUGAUGCUGCAGAGAGGACCACCAUCACUCUGAAAUGUCCUCCUGAUGUUGGAGGAUCAGAUGUUCCAACAUGGAGCAGAGACGCUGUUGAAAUACAACAACAGAGACGGUUUCAUGUUUCAACUGUGAACAACACGUUGAUAAUAACAGACCUGCAGCCUGCUGACUCUGGACUUUAUUACUGUGAUGGAAAACUUGCUGCGUAUCUGACUGUGAGCAAAGACGGUGAAACAACACCAACAUCAACAACAUCAACAACAACAACAUCAACAACAUCAACAACAUCAUCAACAUCAACAACAUCAACAACACCAACAACACCAGCAGCAGAAAGAACUACAGGAACUACAGUAUUACAGUCGCCUCCUAAAGACCAGAGAACACCUCUUAGUUUGGUGAUUGAAGUCCUUUUCCUCUUCCUCUUCAUCAUCAUCAACACCAACAUCAUCAUCUGCUGUAGACAGAGACGCGGGUUUGAGAGACAAGGAAGGAAAGUGGAAGAGAGAGGAGACGACACGCAGCUAGGGGCCACAGGUCAGACUCAAACCCACCGUCGCUACAGCUCAGCCUUGGUACAUGUGGUACCAGCUCUACCAGAGACUGAAGAAAUGGACCCCGAGUAUGACGAUAUAGAGGAUGGAUCAUUGUUUCAAUCUACAAACGAUGAAUCAAACCACAGUGAUCCAACGUAUUCAACCAUCCCUGAUCUUCCUCCAGUGCAAAUGAAGACCGGUAAAGACAUCAACAUUUACAGUCACACAUUUUAACAUUGAACCAAAUGGUUAUUCAUUGUAUUUAAUAUUUUUUUACAGACACAUUUCCACCUAAUGAGUUCUCGUAAUCCUGGAUCAGCUGCACUUUUCUUGGUGGAAAUAAUAAAGCCGACUGACAACACGUAUUCUUUACUGGAGAAACCCAAAGCAGCUGGAAACCAGUGACCAACGUUGGACCUGAAUAUUGAGCCGCUGUUGGGUUGAAACAUGUUUCUGUAAGAGCUGUUUAUAGGAAAAUACUGGGAGGGAAAAGCUGAUUUAUGUUUUGAGCGUUGAGCUUAAAACUGUUUGACUGGCGAAAAAAAGCAAAUGUGACUUAUUUCAUGUGUACAUUAGGAUCCUCACAUCAUUCCCAAAUGUAAAAAUCUUAUGAAAUAUGUAAAAUCAUCUUUUUCUUAAGCUCCAUGAAAUUUACCUUUGGGCAUUAUAUUGUAAUUAACAAGAAGAAACUUGAAAAACUUGCUGUUUUAUGUUUUUCUAAAUGCUGUUUUAAAUGUAUUUGAGAAUUUCUUUUAUUAAAAACAACUGAACAUUUGA